rnacentral:lncRNA from 1 species
CCAUUGCUCUUACAUUUUACUCUUAUAUUAAACAGAAAUAUUGUGACCUUCAGAUGGAGAAUUGUGUCAGAGCCAGGGGAGAAGGAGGAGGACAAAGAUGAAGAUGAGAAGCAGACGGAGCUGCGCAGGAGGAAGAGAGAAGCUCACCAGUGUGGGACACCAUGCUCUGAAACGGGGACAAACUCAGGAAGCGAUGCAGUGUUUCAGAGGAGCACUGGAGGCAACCGGCCAUGUUUCACCUCCAAAAACAUGCUGGUCAGGAUGGCCCACAGUUACAGCACAGAGUCGCAGUGUUUCAGGACUAAUUCUACAUCUGGACCUCAGGAAGGCUCUGAAGGACCAUGGAAAUGGUGGGAAUGGAGUUCAGAGUCCUGUUAUAAAUAUUUUAGCAUGUGCACAGCUCCACGUGGGCCGUUUGUCAAAACUCAUUCUAAGAUUCUUGAAGUUUGGGCAUUGGUAAUAUGAGUGAAGGUGAUGUGUAUAUCGCAGCAGAGAGAAAGAAGCACAGCAUGGCGGUCCGAAAUAGUGCGCUCUCUGCCCUGAUCCCAAGGAUAAACAGAUCAGAUGUAGGGAAGGCUCUGAGAUGGAGAGAGCCUUUUUAAGUGGUUAUUUGGUUGUGCAUUGUUCGGGCGACUCCAGUACCGACAGGCUGGAACUUAUUGUUUCAGAUAUGAUACUGGGUUUCAGUACCCAUCCCUACUUUC